GAUGAACGCUGGCGGCAUGCCUAACACAUGCAAGUCGAUCGGUAAGGCUCUUCGGAGUACACGAGAGGCGGACGGCUGAGUAACGCGUAGGAACACACCCUGCAGUGAGGGAUAAGACACCGAAAGGUGUUCUAAUACCGCAUACGGUCUUCGGAUUAAAGCAUUUAUGCGCUGAAGGAGUGGCCUGCGUCAUAUUAGAUAGUUGGUGAGGUAAUGGCUCACCAAGUCGAUGAUGUGUAGCUGGUCUGAGAGGAUGAUCAGCCAGACUGGAACUGAGACACGGUCCAGACUCCUACGGGAGGCAGCAGUGAGGAAUAUUUCACAAUGAGCGAAAGCUUGAUGGAGCAAUGCCGCGUGCAGGAUGAAGGCCCUCGGGUGGUAAACUGCUUUUAUAAGAGAAGAUUAUGACGGUAACUUAUGAAUAAGGGACGGCUAACUACGU
rnacentral:rRNA from 1 species